CCUUAACGAUGCCCAGGUGGUCUGUAGGGAGCUGGGCUGUGGGGCUACUGGGCUCCUCCAGGGGGGGCUCUAUGGAGAGGGGGAGGCUCCAGUCUGGACCAGUGAGCUCCAGUGUGAAGGAAAUGAAUCUGCGGUCCUGGACUGUAGGAGGUCCAGCUCAGCUGGGAAGACCUGCUCACCUGGAACAGCUGCUGGACUCACCUGUACAGAUCCAGGCAGUGUCAGGGUGGUGGGACAGCCGAGCCGCUGUGCUGGUACUUUGGAGAUCCAACACCAGGGACACUGGAGACCAGCAGGAGGAGACUGGGACCUGAAGUCUGGAUCUGUGGUGUGCCAACACCUGGACUGUGGAUCAGCUGUUUCAGUCAACACAACAGAUGAUUCUACAGUCAGACCUGUGUGGGUGGUCUCAGUUCCUUGUGUAAAGCUGACAUCUGGACUGAGGGACUGUGUUGGACUAGAGGAUUUCUUUAAUCUCUCAUCUGGUGUGGACGUGGUGUGUUCAGAUCUGCUGCCUCAGCCCAACAUCUCCCUGUCUGACGGGGUCUUUGAGGUCUACCGGC